UGAGCUAGAGUUUCCCGUACACUUGGGAGUU
rnacentral:piRNA from 1 species